rnacentral:RNase_P_RNA from 1 species
CGGAUGACUGCAGGAAGUCUUGUGCUUCUUGAGGAAAGUCCAUGCUCGCGCCCCCUGAGAUGGGAGCAGUGUUUGCGCAAGGCCAAUCAAUAAGCCUUGGCUGGGAGGAGUCCCAGACGGCCAGGAAGAAUCUAAACUUCGGCAUGAUGUCUUCCUGUGAAAGCUCCACAGUGACGAAACUUCUGGAAACAGAAGGAGUGCAACGAUGGAAAGCCCCACAAGCGAGAAACCUAAAUUUUGGUAAGGGAAGUCCAACGCGGGAAUUCAACUGCAGCGGACAGGGUAACACCUAGAUAAAUUGUCAUCCUCGACAAAACAUGGCUUACAG